AACUUUAUUCCAGCUAUCUACCUAAAGCUAGUCAUAACUGCACCAACGUAAUCCUAUUUUCAUAUUCCUGUAGCUGUAUGUGACUUAAAGACUGCUGAACGUCUUGGAUGGCAGCCAUCAAAUUAUUGCGUGUUGCUGUCUUUCAUGAGCCCUGAAUGCGUGCGCAUGUGGUGGGCAGGUUCAGAUUAGGAAGGAAAACAGGAAGAGAGCAGAAAGCAUACAAGGAAGUUCACAAAAAGAAGUAAUGAAUUUAAACAAUUAUUUUGUCCUUAUUCUUCUGGUACAUAUGGAUCUUUAUGGCUCUAGCACAGUGGAUGUGCAAAACACUGAUAUCACUUGUGAUGAUAUUAAAGAAAAUGAAAACUAUAAAUAUUCUUCUAACCUGGACAUGAAUGAUAUUUCAUUAUCUGAAGAGACCUGGGAAGUGAAUGGCAAACCUAUUGCUAUUAUUCAUUAUGAUGACACUUCACAGAUUAAUUUCACUGAUGAUGUGAUCAGUGCUGGUUCUGGGACCAUUAUCCUCUGCUGCUGUAGGAGUAUCAACUACACAGCUCUUUUUACUGAAAAAACUAAAGGCCUGCGGGAGAGGAGAAUUUACUAUAAAGCUCGUGAAGACAAUGAUCAUCAAUUUAAGAAGGAUGAAGAGUGCAAAUCCAGGAAUAGGUGGAUUAUUCUUGGUACUGUUUUUGCAUUUCUUAUUGUGAUGGUCUUGAUUGUCUUCUGGAUAAAAUGGCCCUGCAGGAAAGACCCCAAUAAGAAGCCCGUGGAGAAUGUGUAAUCAAGCCAUUACAAGCAGGCCUGCAUUUAAGAAAUAAAGACCAGGACGUUGUUAGGAAGUCUCUUCCGGUGAAGCGUGGAGCUUUGCAGCACAAAAUGUCCAGAUGUUAAUUUUUUUAAUGAGCAAUAAAAUAAAUUUAAAGGAAAUCAUUGGUUAAUGAUUUGCUUUUAUUUAAAUAUAUAUAUUAAAGGACAUUUUGUAGUUCUGGAUUGGGAAAAUAAAGCAUUUUUGUAUUUUUAAUUUGAUGGUAAUAUUCAGUCUUACUGUAAGACAGUGGUUACUGUAUGUGUAAGGGAAUCAUAUCUUCUCAGGCCUGGGGAAAUAAGCCUAAGAAAUAAAUAAAGGGAUUGGUCCUGGGUGCUUAAAUUAAUAUUUGUGAGCCCUGUAAUGUAUUAGUAUACACAUACAAUAACUAAAUUGCCCUUACAGUGGAUGCUUUUUUCUUCCAUUUGAAAAGUCUUACUUAUAUUUUUUUAUAAAAUGCAAAAUUACAUUAGUCUGAAUACAUUUUAAAUAAAAUAAACACAGCAUUGUUAGUAAAACCCAAACAAGGGUUUGAAUUGUGUGAUACCACAGACAGUAGAACAACAUUGUAUUGUGGGCAUUUCCAUGAAUGCUGAUGGCAAAAAUAUAUGUUAUCAGAUACUUUCAGAGAAAAAUUAUCAGGAUCUGAGAAAAUGCUUUAUGGAGAAGCUGUUUCUUAGUCUAUAAUCAUAGCCCAGAGAUCAAAAUUCUGUUGUUUUGUUGGUAUUACUGUAAAUUGCACAUACUGUUGUUUCUAAGUUAGGAGGUUUUUCCAUAAAUGUUCUGUAUUGAGUGUUCCUUGCUCUUUUCUGCGGAAACCUCUCCAGUAGUCCCACUCAAAUGUGAGAAUUUUCUCCACUAUUAGUGGAGUUUCUCCACUUCUAGUUUAAAAAAGUGUGAUACUUACUGUAACACCAAUAGUUUAAAAUGGAUAGUUUCUGUAUUAUUGUCCAUUAUUAGGAUACAGUUGCUUAAAUACUGUACAUUAACCAACAAAGCACCCUCAAUCUGAAGUUUUCUUAUUCUUAUCUCAAUGGGUCACUCUUUGGCUGUGGAGGGGAAAUAUAGUGGUGAUAUGAUAUGUCAACAUUAACAUGCUUAUGCUAUGCUUAUGUUUAAAGGUUUGUGCUUAAUAUGUGUUUAACAAAGUGAGAAGUGGUUUUGCUGAAGCUGGUGUCUAAUGUACAACGUUAGCCUGUAAGCAGAAUUUUAUACCUAACAGAGAUGCCUAUUACAUUAAUAAAAUGAAUUUGGUUUUGGAAGUGGGAUGACAAUUGGAAAUUAAAGAAGACAAUGAAAAAAAAAAAGUAAGCCACCUGAAAAAAAUAAUAAAGAAGGCCACAUUCACCUUUUCUGUGGAGAACUGUAUGGAACAUGCAUAUGAUCAUCCAUGGUGAAAAUUAAAAAGGAACAGUAAAAUAGGCAAUCUCUGAAAGCUUUUCCAGCUUUGCAUUAUUUUUUUUUCUUUUUACUUUUCAGCAUUGAAGUAACCUGUACUUGUUUCUUCACAGCUCCCCUGUCUAAUUAAGCAAUAUGAUAGCAGUAUGGUGUAACUGAUUCAGAGCAGCGAAUGAGACUCCCUAUGACUAGCAGGUUAAUGCAUUUCAGGUUUUAUAAAUGGUUUUCAAAAAAAAUACCUGGAAUGUUUAUGGCCUUUACCUUUUUUUAAGGGUAACUGUACAGAAACAAGUGAAUUUAAUGCUGUUGUAAACAUCACUUUUCUGUUCCAACAGAACAGAAAUAAACCAAAAUAUUGUAAUACUUUCUAUUACUGGGAAAAAACAUUUUCAAUUGGCUUACAGUGCUAUCAGAUAUUGUUUUUUUCAUAUUGUAUUUACUAUGAAAUUUACAAUAAAAAUGCUGCAUUUACAGAAU
rnacentral:lncRNA from 1 species